AUACGGAGGGUCCAAGCGUUAUCCGGAUUCAUUGGGUUUAAAGGGUCCGCAGGCGGGAAAAUAAGUCAGUGGUGAAAGCCUACAGCUCAACUGUAGAACUGCCAUUGAAACUGUUUUUCUUGAGUAUAGAUGAAGUGGGCGGAAUACAUCAUGUAGCGGUGAAAUGCAUAGAUAUGAUAUAGACCACCGAUUGCGAAGGCAGCUCACUAACCUAUUACUGACGCUCAGGGACGAAAGCGUGGGGAGCGAACAGGAUUAGAUACCCUAGUAGUCC
rnacentral:rRNA from 1 species